AACGAACGCUGGCGGCAUGCCUAACACAUGCAAGUCGAACGAGACCUUCGGGUCUAGUGGCGCACGGGUGCGUAACGCGUGGGAACCUGCCGUUAGGUUCGGAAUAACUCCCCGAAAGGGGUGCUAAUACCGGAUAAUGUCUUCGGACCAAAGAUUUAUCGCCUUUGGAUGGGCCCGCGUUGGAUUAGCUAGUUGGUAGGGUAAAAGCCUACCAAGGCGACGAUCCAUAGCUGGUCUGAGAGGAUGAUCAGCCACACUGGGACUGAGACACGGCCCAGACUCCUACGGGAGGCAGCAGUGGGGAAUAGUGGACAAUGGGCGAAAGCCUGAUCCAGCAAUGCCGCGUGAGUGAUGAAGGCCUUAGGGUUGUAAAGCUCUUUUACCCGGGAUGAUAAUGACAGUACCGGGAGAAUAAGCUCCGGCUAACUCCGUG
rnacentral:rRNA from 1 species